rnacentral:lncRNA from 1 species
CGCUGUGGUCGGCCACCGGUUACCGCAUAAGCCAAGCCCUUGAUCUGCCGUGUUUGAGGAAAUUCUUUGUUCCUUUCAAGCCUCUAUUCUCUCAGCUGGGGCUGGUGCAUAGACCGAAGCAGAAUUACUGGGCCAAAGCAGAGCUGUGGUCGGCUCCUGUGAGCUUCUCUGUGCUUUCCAAACGGUGACCGCGAACCCACGUUGCAUAAGGUAAUGGAAAGACCGUCAUCCACCAGACGGCCUGGUGGCGAAUGAAGUACAUUGUCUGGGUCU